AAUACCCGAAAGGGUGACGAAGCGACGCCGCGUGCGGGAAGAAGGCCUUCGGGUUGUAAACCGCUGUCGGGAGUUAAGAAAUGUAAGGAUGUUAAUAGCAUCUUUGCUUGACUAAGGCUCCGGAGGAAGCCACGGCUAACUCUGUGCCAGCAGCCGCGGUAAUACAGAGGCGGCAAGCGUUGUUCGGAAUUAUUGGGCGUAAAGAGCACGUAGGCGGCUAUGUAAGUCGGUUGUGAAAGCCUUCCGCUCAACGGGAGAACAGCAUCCGAUACUGCAUGGCUUGAGUGCGGGAGGGGAGAGUGGAACUUCUGGUGGAGCGGUGAAAUGCGUAGAUAUCAGAAGGAACGCCGGCGGCGAAAGCGGCUCUCUGGCCCAUAACUGACGCUGAGUGUGCGAAAGCUAGGGGAGCAAACGGGAUUAGAUACCCCGGUAGUCCUAGCCGUAAACGAUGGGCACUAAGUAGAGGGGUUUU
rnacentral:rRNA from 1 species